AGUCUUAUAGUUUAAAAAAUAUAAAAUUGCAAAUUUUAAGAUGUAAUAUAAUAAUACUAAGGCUU
rnacentral:tRNA from 1 species